rnacentral:rRNA from 1 species
AUGCAGGGUCGCCAGGCCGGCACGGCGCUCCUGCUCCUCCUCGCCGUCGUCGUCGCCGCCCUCCCCGCGCCGUCGCUCGGCUGGGGCGUCGACGGCCACCUCAUCAUCUGCGAGAUCGCGCAGGGCCGGCUGAGCGACGCGGCGGCGAAGGCGGUGAACGACCUGCUGCCGUCGGGCGCCGGCGGCAACCUGAGCAGCCUCUGCUCCUGGGCCGACAGGGUCAGGUUCAGGUACCACUGGUCGGCGCCGCUCCACUUCAUCGACGUCCCGGACAACGUCUGCAACUACUCCUACGACAGGGACUGCAAGGACGAGGAGGGCGUCAAGGGCCGCUGCGUCGCCGGCGCCAUCAACAACUACACGUCCCAGCUCCUCACCUACGGAUCAUCAUCGCUAUCGCCAUCUUCUAAAUCUUCCGGCCAAUAUAACCUGACGGAAGCGCUCUUGUUCCUCUCACACUUCAUGGGAGACAUCCACCAGCCACUGCAUUGUGGUUUUGCUUCUGACAGAGGCGGGAACACCAUCGACGUCCACUGGUACAGGAGGAAGACCGUACUCCACCAUGUAUGGGAUGUGAACAUCAUCCAGACGGCGGAGAAGGACUACUACGACGAAGGCGCGGGCGAAUUCGUCGACGCGCUGAACAAGAACAUAACGGGGGCGUGGUCAGACAAAGUGCAGGAAUGGGAGGAGUGCGCCAAGAGCCAGACGGCGUGCCCUGACAAAUAUGGGUCGGAGAGCAUCGCUGCAGCAUGCAACUCGGCGUACAAGGGCGUGACAGAAGAUUCAACGCUGAGUGACGCGUAUUUCGGGAGCAGGCUGCCGGUGGUGAACCUGAGGCUGGCGCAAGGCGGCGUCCGGUUGGCCGCUACGCUCAACAGGAUAUUUGGCUAA